UACGGGGGGGGCAAGCGUUGUUCGGAAUUACUGGGCGUAAAGGGCUCGUAGGCGGCCAACUAAGUCAGACGUGAAAUCCCUCGGCUUAACCGGGGAACUGCGUCUGAUACUGGAUGGCUUGAGUUCGGGAGAGGGAUGCGGACUUCCAGGUGUAGCGGUGAAAUGCGUAGAUAUCUGGAGGAACACCGGUGGCGAAGGCGGCAUCCUGGACCGACACUGACGCUGAGGAGCGAAAGCCAGGGGAGCAAACGGG
rnacentral:rRNA from 1 species